UCUCCUCUUCCCCCAAACCCGGCAGCCAGCCUCCGCCUCCACCUCCUGCCGCGCCCGUUCUCAUCUCCCCCGCCCCUCUCCCUCCCUACAGAUCACCCGCCGCCAGCCACCACAUCUGCCCCCCACUGACCCGCAGCCACCAGAUCGUCCCCAAGGCCAGCAGCUCCGGCCACCACGAACCCAGAUCCGGUAGCACGGGCUCACGCCCAGGCGUUCGUGUGCUGCGGUCACCUCGGUGGUGAGGGGCUCUGGAGACGCACGGGCGCGGCAACUGAGUGUUGUGUGACACGGCGGCCAGUUCUCCUAGCGUGUGGAUCUCGGCGUCCUGCGGCCGGCCCCCGAGCUAUGGCUUGCGAUGCAGCGGCGGCAGCAGCCUCCCCGCCGCACCUCCGGCCCAUGCUCUCCUAACACGCGGACUUCCAAGCACUUCCGUCCAGAUCAGAUAGGUAGAGGCGCUAGGACCAACCCCUUAAGCGGAGGCCGCACAAGCUCGGCGGUGCCGUCGGCGAGAUGAAUGGAGCGGCCAUCCCCGCACGGUCCUCACCUGUCUUCCUCUGUCGAUUUAAGGUACCAGCAGGGAUAUAUAGGCUAAAGCUCCAUAUUGCUGGGAUCCGUGGCCAGGUUAAUAUGGAAUCUUUAACUCUAAUCGAAGUUGCUUUGCUUGAUUUUUUAGCAGCUCAGUUCGCUUUCAACUAGCUGUCAGUGCCUGCAACUUCUUCUCUUCUUCUCUUGGAUACAGGUAAUUGUUUUGGCGUGGUGCAGAAGCCCAGGAAACAGCCCAGACUCUACUUUUAGGAUGAAAUGGUAGAAGGAACAAAAAGUGAGAAGAGAUUGGAAAUAUGAAGGCAAAUGCUGGAAUAUUUGAUGUUUUUGUUUCUAGUGUUGCUUUUGAUGCAAGAUGAAUGUAACUUGCAUGUAAAUUUUGAGGUGCUUCUCAAUGUAAAUCAUACGAUAUUGUAUUUGAUUUGAUGCUGUGAUAAAUGGUCUUACAAUUUUGGUAUA